rnacentral:rRNA from 1 species
UACGAAGGGGGCUAGCGUUGCUCGGAAUCACUGGGCGUAAAGCGCACGUAGGCGGAUUGCUAAGUCAGGGGUGAAAUCCUGGAGCUCAACUCCAGAACUGCCUUUGAUACUGGCGAUCUUGAGUCCGGGAGAGGUGAGUGGAAUUGCGAGUGUAGAGGUGAAAUUCGUAGAUAUUCGCAAGAACACCAGUGGCGAAGGCGGCUCACUGGCCCGAUACUGACGCUGAGGUGCGAAAGCGUGGGGAGCAAACAGG